rnacentral:rRNA from 1 species
CUACCCGGGUAUCUAAUCCUGUUUGCUACCCACGCUUUCGUACCUCAGCGUCAGAUAAUGGCCAGAAAGUCGCCUUCGCCACCGGUAUUCCUCCUAAUAUCUGCGCAUUUCACCGCUACACUAGGAAUUCCACUUUCCCUUCCAUCUCUCAAGUUAAACAGUUUUAAAAGCUUACUAUAGUUGAGCUAUAGCCUUUCACUUCUAACUUUUCUAACCGCCUACGUACCCUUUACGCCCAAUGAUUCCGGACAACGCUCGGUCCUUACGUAUUACCGCGGCUGCUGGCAC